GCCUGGGUGGCUCAGUCGGCUGAGCAUCUGACUUCGGCUCAGGUCAUGAUCUCACAGUUCGUGAGUUCGAGCCCCACGUCGGGCU
rnacentral:tRNA from 1 species